rnacentral:rRNA from 1 species
ACGCUCGACACCUACUGGAGGCAGCAGUUAGGAAUAUUGGGCAAUGGAGGAAACUCUGACCCAGCAACGCCGCGUGAAGGAAGAAGGUUUUCGGAUUGUAAACCUCUGAUCUAGGGGAAGAAGGAAGUGACGGUACCCUAGGAGAAAGCCACGGCUAACUACGUGCCAGCAGCCGUGGUAAUCUGAGCGGGCUGGCAAGGC